GACGAACGCUGGCGGCGUGCUUAACACAUGCAAGUCGAACGGAAAGGCCCUGCUUUUGUGGGGUGCUCGAGUGGCGAACGGGUGAGUAACACGUGAGUAACCUGCCCUUGACUUUGGGAUAACUUCAGGAAACUGGGGCUAAUACCGGAUAGGAGCUCCUGCUGCAUGGUGGGGGUUGGAAAGUUUCGGCGGUUGGGGAUGGACUCGCGGCUUAUCAGCUUGUUGGUGGGGUAGUGGCUUACCAAGGCUUUGACGGGUAGCCGGCCUGAGAGGGUGACCGGCCACAUUGGGACUGAGAUACGGCCCAGACUCGUACGGGAGGCAGCAGUGGGGAAUAUUGCACAAUGGGCGGAAGCCUGAUGCAGCAACGCCGCGUGCGGGAUGACGGCCUGCGGGUUGUAAACCGCUUUCGCCUGUGACGAAGCGUGAGUGACGGUAAUGGGUAAAGAAGCACCGGCUAACUACGUG
rnacentral:rRNA from 1 species